rnacentral:rRNA from 1 species
AACGAACGCUGGCGGCAUGCCUAACACAUGCAAGUCGAACGCUUUGGGGGUUUCGGCCCCCAGGGAGUGGCGCACGGGUGAGUAGCGCGUGGGAACCUGCCCUGUUGUGGGGGAUAACCGAGGGAAACUUCGGCUAAUACCGCAUGCGCCCGGUGAGCGAUCAUCGGGGAAAGAUUUAUCGCAGCAGGAGGGGCCCGCGUCGGAUUAGCUGGUUGGUGGGGUAACGGCCUACCAAGGCGAUGAUCCGUAGCUGGUCUGAGAGGAUGAUCAGCCACACUGGGACUGAGACACGGCCGAGACUCCUACGGGAGGCAGCAGUGGGGAAUAUUGGACAAUGGGCGCAAGCCUGAUCCAGCAAUGCCGCGUGAGUGAUGAAGGCCUUCGGGUUGUAAAGCUCUUUCGCCCGCGACGAUGAUGACGGUAGCGGGAGAAGAAGCCCCGGCUAACUUCGUGCCAGCAGCCGCCGUAACAC